AUUGAACGCUGGCGGCAUGCCUUACACAUGCAAGUCGAACGGUAACGCGGGGGCAACCCUGGCGACGAGUGGCGAACGGGUGAGUAAUGCAUCGGAACGUGCCCAGUAGUGGGGGAUAGCUCGGCGAAAGCCGGAUUAAUACCGCAUACGACCUACGGGUGAAAGCGGGGGACCGAAAGGCCUCGCGCUAUUGGAGCGGCCGAUGUCGGAUUAGCUUGUUGGUGGGGUAAAAGCCUACCAAGGCGACGAUCCGUAGCUGGUCUGAGAGGACGACCAGCCACACUGGGACUGAGACACGGCCCAGACUCCUACGGGAGGCAG
rnacentral:rRNA from 1 species